GACUCGUUUGGAUGCUGAAGCUUCAUAUUUGUCACAAAUUGUGGAGCAAAGACUGUAGGCUGAUCCGGGCUGAAGAACUUUAUUUGGUGAUGAUCCAGGCAAAAACAAAAGCUGAGCAGAAUGAACUCGACAAGGCAAGGAAGAUUACAAACUGAACACAGGUGGGUGAAAUAAGACACAGGUGAAACACGUGAGGUAAUCAACGAAGGUGGGAAAACACAGGAAGUAAAAGGUGACAAAACACUUCAAAAUAAAACAGAGACUAAAGUAAUCAGACAACAAGGAGCAGGUGGUACAACUGGGAGCUCCAGGUGAUAGACUGGGGAAGACACCUGGAGCAAGGCAGCUGGUUGUCAAACACCAAACACCUGCAGGAGGAACUACUUUCUGCUGCAGGAGGAACUACUUUCUGCUGCAGAGGAAUACGGAGGAUAGCGGUGCUUCUUCUGAGAGGAGAAACAAGUACCGGCUGCAUACCCUCAUGAUCAGCUAGAGGAGGUGCUCCUGUUUCUCUAUUGGUCCAGAGGAUGUUACCCAUAACACCUUUCUCUCUGUGUUGGUUUGAAGCAGAAGCCUUAUUCCAGCUGUACACCUCUUGGUUCAUUUGUAAUAAGUCAGUGUGGAGCUAGAAGACUACAAUCAGAGAUGAAUCAAAGGGUCGCGGGGGAGCUGGGGCCGAUCUCAGCUGACUUUGGGUGAGAAACGGGAUACGUCCUGGACAGGUCACCAGCAAGCGGCAACCUCCAGGGCUGUAAAAUGAAGCCAAUGCGGAAGUGCCAAAAACUGCAGUUCUU